CCCUGUUCAGAUUGUUUAAUUUUGUUGGUGUAUAUUGUCGGCAUUCAGCAUUCAUAUUUAGGUAUUUUUAAAUUGUGUUCUAUUUUCUUAAUAUUGUGCUUGCUCAUUAGGAUUGUUUUGAUCAUCGACAAUUAUGACUGACAGAAACAGGGUUUCAUAAAAAAAGAAUUUGGAAAGUUUGGAAACGUAACAAAAUUAUAUCUAACAGGAGAAUUUGCUAAAGUAUAUUUCGACGAUUUAGAGUCCUGUCAUAAAGCUUGUAGAGAAUUGAAUAACAAAUUCGGCUGGACAGUUGAGCAGGAAGAAAAUAAAAAUUUUCGUAAAUCCCCAAGGGGUAAUUCACAACCGUUUGGGGGGAACUCUGAGAACAGUUCAAGGGGUUUUUCUCAAUCUGCUUCUUCAAAUUUAGGGACAACUUCCGUGAAUCCUCAAAACAAAAUGAACAAUUACGACUAUCUAGAUGACGAAUUUUCUGAAAACACGGACUACUGUGAUAUACAUGGAAAUCCGCUGGUUUUGUUUCAAGCAGAUUCUGGUGCAAAGUAUGUCAAUGUGGAGGAUGUUCGAAAGGCAGGGUUUGCCAUUUUCAGAAGGGAUUGUUUCAACCCUUUGUUAGUUGAUAGAAGGCAAAUCCAGAAGGAAUUUGAAUUGCAUCUGUUGUCAGAAGCAAAGACUUACAUUCUGAAAAAUAAAGCUGUUGCUAUAGAUGAAGAACAUAUCUUACGGACAAUAGA